CGCACACCCAUGUGUGUAGGACCUCAAAGGUUACCAUUAAAUUUGGCACAGAUCUCAAAAAAAGUUGUCACAUUGGUGUGGGACUUGACUUUUCUAGAGAUCUGUACCAAAUUUAAUGGUGAUCCUUUGGGGUCCUAUACACGUGGGUGUGGG
rnacentral:pre_miRNA from 1 species